UACAAAUAGAAAUACAUGCUCACUAAUACUCCGUGGGGAGAGAUCCACGCAGGCUGCGGCGAUAGAAAAGGUGUCACAGAGAAAAUGAAACUUCACCUGGGCCUGGGCCAGUGGUACCCAGUCUGUGGGUUUUUGUGGACUUGAGGUGUGGCCUUGUACAGAUACUUCAGUACGCUUUUAAAGGGAGGCAGUAGGGAUCAAGAACAAGGGCUUUGGAGCCGGCUGCUUUGCUGCUUUGCUUUAAGUCAUGGUUCUACUACCCCUGGUUGUGCGACCUCAGGCGAAUAAGUGCACACAUCUAGGCCUCAUUUUCCCCACCUGUUAAAUGGAAACAACAACAGCUCUCACUUCAGAAGGUUGUUGUGAAAAUCAAAGUAGAUUAAUUUAUGCAAAAAUCUUGGCGUCUCUAAGCCCUUGAUAAAGGUGAUCUUCUAAUAAUAUUGAAUACUAAACACAGACCAGGUUCCAGUCUCAAUCUUUUACUCAGGGAAGUCAGAUGUGGUGUACAGGGUCUAGGACCCGGUGGCAAAACAAGACAGAGGGCUGUGUUGGAGAGAGGGGCUGACAUACUUUGUGAGCUCCAGUGAAUUUUCUGCUGUGAGACUCUCAGCUGUGACUGACCACCUGUUUAAACUGCAGGCCGAAGGAGCCCCCUUAGCCCUCUCUGUACUGGUUUGUUUUCUGAGUGGGCAGCCUGUGCCGCUGGGUAAGCUGGGAAUAGGUCAACAUUGGCUGCAACCAAGCAAUGGCAUGAUAUUUCCCCCAAAUCCUAUUAAAGAAAAAAAAAGAAA